rnacentral:ribozyme from 13 species
GAAAAAAAUAAAAAAUAACAAAUAAAAAAUAAAAUAGAAGACCCA